rnacentral:piRNA from 1 species
UUCAAACAAUUCACAGAAUAU